rnacentral:rRNA from 1 species
UGGUGGAGCGAUUUGUCUGGUCAAUUCCGAUAACGAACGAGACUCUAGCCUACUAAAUAGUUCGGGGACCCCCACAAAGGGGCCCCCGCUUCAACUUCUUAGAGGGACAGGUGGCGUUUAGCCACACGAGAUUGAGCAAUAACA